GUAUUUAAAAAAAAAAGCCACAGCAGCACAGGGCAGAGCCCGCUAGCACUGUGCAGGCAGAAGGGAGCUGCUGAGAGUGAGGAGGAGGAGCCGCCGUUCAGCCAGUCUGGGAGGCAACGCGCGGGAGGGAGAACAAGGAAGGCUGUCCCCAAGGCCGUGGAAGGCUCUCAGCUGCUGGCGCCGGCGCGGGCACCCACUCAGGCAAGCGGGCGCAGAGAAAGGGACGCUGUGCAGCCCGGGCGAGACAAGCAAGACCACAGUAACGGGAGGACUCUGUCUCCUGGGCACUUCCUGGAAAGUGACCCACGCCACCAGGAGCUGAAGGCUGCAAGCGGGCCCUCACCAGGACCCUCACAGGAGUCUUCCAGCUCGACUCUCCGGGCCUCCGGCUCCUCAGGCAGCAAGCACCGCCGGGCAGCAGACGUGUGUUCUGCCGAUGGUGGCUGCUCUGUGAAGAUACUAAACCCCAGCAUUGCAUACUUUGAUCAGGUGGAUGUUAUGGGAGGUGAGUCAUGUCUCAGUAAAACUGUUUCUAGAAGCCCAAAUCAUCCUCUCUGGAGAAGGGGUGGCAGGGCUUGUCCCCCACCCUGCUGGAGCUGCCUGUCCACAGACCCUCCCAGAGCAGCGUCACCUGAGCCGCCCGGGUGAGGCGUGGUCGGAGGGUCUGUGCCGGGACACAGCAGCCACCCUGGGUUCCCAGGUCCUGUGUCCUUCAGGAGGUGGUCCGGAGCAGUGCGCUCCCCCCGCCCCGGUUCACCAGGGGCCCCGUGGCUUCCACUGACGUCCUCUCUCUUAGGUGCUCCCAUGGAGCCCUCUCCGGGGAUUCCAUGUUCCUCCCCAACCAGCGUGUUCCUGGGACCCAGGCAGGAAGGGCCUCUCCCAGUCCACUUCACCCCAGCCCGGUGGGGGGACGUGCCCAGGACAGGGGGACAUGCCCCGGGAGGGCUCCGGCCUGGCCCGGCAAUCCUGAGAUCAGGGUAACCGCCUGCAGUAAUCCACAUGGCCCAGAACCCGGGAUCCCUGUUCCGGACUUCUGAUUGCUCCUCUGAUUAAACAAAUAGGUUCAAUUCACUUGCAUUAUAAUUAAGUCAUCUCAAGUCCUUUUUGAAGGAGAGAAAUAAUUCAUAACAAGCAGUUUAAAUUCCCAUUUCCCACGAGUGGAUUUCCAUCCGUCCUAGAAGCGGAGAAGACCGCAGCCUCUCCGCGGCUGGUUCCCGGGUUGCUGUCAACCAGGUAGGGCUUUUCCCGGCAGGGCGCGGCCUCGUGUCGCCCUGAAGGCCCGCGGCUUCUGGGACAGUGUCCCCUGGCUGUCAGAAGAGAGUGGACAGGCUUGAUUGGCGUGCUAACAAGUUCACUAGGUGAUGAGUCUUAAAAAUAAAAUGCUUGUUAAAGAGCCUGAAACCUAUUGAAAUUCAAAGAUGAGCUCUCCUGCACUUUGAAAGCCCAGCUGUCAGAUGCCGUUUGUUCGCAUUGGUGCCACGGGGACCCCCCUCCGCCCCACAGGGCGGUUGCCACCCUGGGCUCCUUUCUUCUGCGGUUACGGAAGAGCUUCUUUCUGACCCACUGCAGCGGCUGCGGUUAAAUUUCCUGCAACUAGUGCUCUCGGCCUGUCGUCUGUAUGUAUAUACAACAUCUGAUUGGGAGUUUUAUCUGAGAACGCAUUCUCCUUCUGAAAACCGUCCUCGAGACGCUCAGCCAUCUCCAGGCCUUGUGUCUGCACGUGCCACAGCCAAGGCCCCGGUGGGCGAGCCCAGCUGUCCCCUGGAAGGAGGGUGUCCAGCCCGACGGGGCCACCUCAUUCUGGCGGGACCAGACCAGCUUCCUCCAGGGAUGGGCCUGCUUCUCUGGAGCCGGUUCUCCUGUGGGGGGGGGGGGGGUGGCUUUUUCC
ensembl:lincRNA